GAUGAACGCUGGCGGCGUGCCUAAUACAUGCAAGUCGAGCGAACAGACGAGGAGCUUGCUCCUCUGACGUUAGCGGCGGACGGGUGAGUAACACGUGGAUAACCUACCUAUAAGACUGGGAUAACUUCGGGAAGCCGGAGCUAAUACCGGAUAAUAUCUUGAACCGCAUGGUUCAAUAGUGAAAGACGGUUUUGCUGUCACUUCUAGAUGGAUCCGCGCCGCAUUAGCUAGUUGGUAAGGUAACGGCUUACCAAGGCAACGAUGCGUAGCCGACCUGAGAGGGUGAUCGGCCACACUGGAACUGAGACACGGUCCAGACUCCUACGGGAGGCAGCAGUAGGGAAUCUUCCGCAAUGGGCGAAAGCCUGACGGAGCAACGCCGCGUGAGUGAUGAAGGUCUUCGGAUCGUAAAACUCUGUUAUUAGGGAAGAACAAAUGUGUAAGUAACUAUGCACGGCUUGACGGUACCUAAUCAGAAAGCCACGGCUAACUACGUG
rnacentral:rRNA from 1 species